rnacentral:rRNA from 1 species
GUAGGGUGCAAGCGUUGUCCGGAAUUAUUGGGCGUAAAGAGCUUGUAGGCGGUUUGUCGCGUCUGCUGUGAAAUUUCGGGGCUCAACCCCGAACUUGCAGUGGGUACGGGCAGACUAGAGUGUGGUAGGGGAGACUGGAAUUCCUGGUGUAGCGGUGAAAUGCGCAGAUAUCAGGAGGAACACCGAUGGCGAAGGCAGGUCUCUGGGCCAUAACUGACGCUGAGAAGCGAAAGCAUGGGGAGCGAACAGG